rnacentral:tRNA from 1 species
AUUUAAAUAGCUUAUAGAAUAGAGUAUAAUAUUGAAGAUAUUAGGGAAAUAAUUUUUAUUUUUAAAUA